CCUACGGGAGGCAGCAGUAGGGAAUCUUCCACAAUGGGCGAAAGCCUGAUGGAGCAACGCCGCGUGGGUGAAGAAGGUCUUCGGAUCGUAAAACCCUGUUGUUAGAGAAGAAAGUGCGUGAGAGUAACUGUUCACGUUUCGACGGUAUCUAACCAGAAAGCCACGGCUAACUACGUGCCAGCAGCCGCGGUAAUACGUAGGUGGCAAGCGUUAUCCGGAUUUAUUGGGCGUAAAGGGAACGCAGGCGGUCUUUUAAGUCUGAUGUGAAAGCCUUCGGCUUAACCGGAGUAGUGCAUUGGAAACUGGUAGACUUGAGUGCAGAAGAGGAGAGUGGAACUCCAUGUGUAGCGGUGAAAUGCGUAGAUAUAUGGAAGAACACCAGUGGCGAAAGCGGCUCUCUGGGCUGUAACUGACGCUGAGGUUCGAAAGCGUGGGUAGCAAACAGGAUUAGAUACCCGAGUAGUC
rnacentral:rRNA from 1 species